GACGUAGGGGGCCAGCGUUGUUCGGAAUUACUGGGUGUAAAGGGUUCGUAGGCGGUGUGGCAAGUCGGGAGUGAAAUCUCUGGGCUCAACUCAGAGACUGCUUCCGAAACUGCUGUGCUGGAGUGUGGGAGAGGCGCGUGGACUUGCAGGUGUAGCGGUGAAAUGCGUAGAUAUCUGCAGGAACACCCGUGGCGAAAGCGGCGCGCUGGACCACUACUGACGCUGAGGAACGAAAGCUAGGGGAGCAAACGGG
rnacentral:rRNA from 1 species